GCCUGGGAGGCUCAGUGGUUGAGCAUCUGCCUUCAGCUCAGGUCAUGAUCUUGGGGUCGUGGGAUCAAGUCUCACAUCGGGCU
rnacentral:tRNA from 1 species